GACAAGCUGAGGGGUGGAUGGAACAGAGUGGGGAGGAGUCUGGUUCUGGGUGGGAAAUUGGGGAACAAGAAAGAGGGCCAGAGUGGAUUCUGCAACCAGAAGGAAGCUUGGAAAUGCCCCCCAAGAGUGGAGUCAGUGAGAGGAUGGAAGCCAGCCUGCUUUUUCUUGGAUCUUAGCUGGGCCAUUCACCUACUGCUACAACAGAGGCUGCCUAGCACAUUUGGAGAGGAUUGCGCUGGAUUGUAUUCACCCAUGUUCAUUGCAUCUGUGCAAUGAACCUCUUCCAGUACAUUUCUGGUUUUGUCUGUUGGAGCCUUGUGCUAGUUGUUUUGUAUUUUAUCCGAUGUUUACAGCUGAUACAGCAAGAUCGAUGUAUACAUGAACUCACAGAGACUGUGACAGCAUACCCAAGGCCUACAGAGGUUCAUACCAGAUGAUUCUCAGAGAUGAGAGAGGUGACUGGACACAAACUCCUAUCCCUACCAAGAAGAUCUCCAAUGAAUGUGUUCUAUGGACUUCAUACAUGGUCUUUAAGUAUGUGUUUGCUAUAAUCAGAAUUCAAUUAUACAUCUAGGAAGACCAAAUUAAGCACUAAUCCAGAACUUGGAAGCAAUCUAGAUGUCCCUCACCCGAAGAGUGGAUAGAGAAAAUGUGG